AUCCCAUGAUGUGGACAUCUCUUUUGAAUAUCCUUGUAUCUCUCCAAUGCUUCAUAAAGAGUUUCAUCAUCCUUGGGUUUAAAAGAAGUCAAUUCAUUCCUCAAUUU